GACGAACGCUGGCGGCGUGCUUAACACAUGCAAAGUUGAACGGGCAUACAUGGAAGCUUGCUGAAGUGUAUGUUAGUAGCGGACGGGUGAGUAAUGCAUGAGGACCUGCCUACCGGAGGGGGACAACAGUUGGAAACGGCUGCUAAUACCCCGUAUGCCGAGAGGUGAAAGGAAUGGAGACAUUCCGCCGGGAGAGGGACUCAUGUCCUAUCAGCUAGUUGGUGAGGUAACGGCUCACCAAGGCGACGACGGGUAGCCGGCCUGAGAGGGCGACCGGCCACACUGGAACUGAGAGACGGUCCAGACUCCUACGGGAGGCAGCAGUGGGGAAUAUUGGGCAAUGGGGGCAACCCUGACCCAGCGACGCCGCGUGAGGGAAGAAGGCCUUCGGGUCGUAAACUUCUUUUGUACGUGAAGAAGCAGAUGACGGUAGCGUACGAAUAAGUCCCGGCGUAACUACGUGCCAGCAGCGCGGUAAACUGUAGUCGU
rnacentral:rRNA from 1 species